AAUAUUGGUCAAUGGGCGCAAGCCUGAACCAGCCAUCCCGCGUGAAGGAAGAAGGCGCUAUGCGUUGUAAACUUCUUUUCCAGGGGGAGAAUUUUUCCGUCGUGACGGGAAUUGACGGUACUCUGGGAAUAAGCAUCGGCUAACUCCGUGCCAGCAGCCGCGGUAAUACGGAGGAUGCGAGCGUUAUCCGGAUUUAUUGGGUUUAAAGGGUGCGUAGGCGGAUUGAUAAGUCAGUGGUGAAAGGCUGCAGCUUAACUGUAGACGUGCCGUUGAUACUGUCAGUCUUGAGUAUGGUCAAGGCAGGCGGAAUGUGUAAUGUGGCGGUGAAAUACUUAGAUAUUACACAGAACACCGAUUGCGAAGGCGGCUUGCUGGGCCAUCACUGACGCUCAUGCACGAGAGCGUGGGGAUCGAACAG
rnacentral:rRNA from 1 species